rnacentral:rRNA from 1 species
GAUGAACGCUGGCGGCGUGCCUAAUACAUGCAAGUCGAGCGAACAGACGAGGAGCUUGCUCCUCUGACGUUAGCGGCGGACGGGUGAGUAACACGUGGAUAACCUACCUAUAAGACUGGGAUAACUUCGGGAAACCGGAGCUAAUACCGGAUAAUAUAUUGAACCGCAUGGUUCAAUAAUGAAAGACGGUUUUGCUGUCACUUAUAGAUGGAUCCGCGCCGCAUUAGCUAGUUGGUAAGGUAACGGCUUACCAAGGCAACGAUGCGUAGCCGACCUGAGAGGGUGAUCGGCCACACUGGAACUGAGACACGGUCCAGACUCCUACGGGAGGCAGCAGUAGGGAAUCUUCCGCGAUGGGCGAAAGCCUGACGGAGCAACGCCGCGGGAGUGAUGAAGGUCUUCGGAUCGUAAAACUCUGUUAUUAGUGAAGAACAAAUGUGUAAGUAACUAUGCACGUCUUGACGGUACCUAAUCAGAAAGCCACGGCUAACUACGUG